rnacentral:rRNA from 1 species
AGAGUUUGAUCCUGGCUCAGGAUGAACGCUAGCUAUAGGCUUAACACAUGCAAGUCGAGGGGCAUCAUGAUCGAAGCUUGCUUUGAUUGAUGGCGACCGGCGCACUGGUGAGUAACGCGUAUCCAACCUGCCCGCCACUGGGGAAUAGUCCCCCGAAAGGGGGUUUAAUGCCCCAUGUCUCCUCCUGAGGGCAUCCGAAAGAGGGGAAAGGAAUCCGGUGGCAGAUGGGGAUGCGUCCGAUUAGCUUGUCGGCGGGGUAACGGCCCACCGAGGCUACGAUCAGUAGGGGUUCUGAGAGGAAGGUCCCCCACAUUGGAACUGAGACACGGUCCAAACUCCUACGGGAGGCAGCAGUGAGGAAUAUUGGUCAAUGGGCGGAAGCCUGAACCAGCCAAGUCGCGUGAAGGAAGACGGUUCUAUGGAUUGUAAACUUCUCUUGUUCGAGGGUAAAGUAAGAGAUGCGUCUCUUAUUGCAAGUAUCGGACGAAUAAGCAUCGGCUAACUCCGUGCCAGCAGCCGCGGUAAUACGGAGGAUGCGAGCGUUAUCCGGAUUUAUUGGGUUUAAAGGGUGCGUAGGCGGGAUGUUAAGUCAGCGGUGAAAGCGUGUUGCUCAACAAUACCGAGCCGUUGAAACUGGCGUUCUUGAGUGUAAACGAGGUAGGCGGAAUGUGAUGUGUAGCGGUGAAAUGCAUAGAUAUGUCACAGAACUCCGAUUGCGAAGGCAGCUUACCAGCAUACGACUGACGCUGAGGCACGAAAGCGUGGGUAUCAAACAGGAUUAGAUACCCUGGUAGUCCACGCAGUAAACGAUGAAUACUAGCUGUUGGCGAUAUAAUGUCAGCGGUACAAGGAAAGUGUUAAGUAUUCCUCCUCGGGGGGGACGCACGCGCAAACGAAGAAACCCAAAGGAACUGCCGGGGGCCCGCACAAGGCGAGGAACAUGUGGUUUGAUUAGAUGAUACGUGAGGAGCCUUCCCCGGGCUUGGAAGAUAGCGGCGAUCCUGCAAAGAGGUUUUCCUAUCGGGGUCGCAAAAUAGGAGCGGCAUGGUUGCUAGUCAGUUAGUGACGCGAGAGGUUGGGGGUGAAGUGCAAUUAACGAAGCGCGACCUCUCCGUUGCUUAGUUGCCAGAGUGUAAUGGCGGGAACUCCAGCCAGGUUUCUAGUGUAGGAAAGAGGCGGGGGGGGAAGACCAAAAAACAGCAGGGCCCUCACUUCUGGGGCGCCACACGUGUUACAAUGGUAGGUACAGAGGGUUGCUACCCGGUGAAGGGGUGGUAAUUUCAUAUAACCCAUAUCAGUUAGGAAUGGACUCGGCAACUCCACUCCAUGAAGGUG